UAUAACAAGAACACAUUGUUUGAGGCUGCUGAGUUUGUGUCAAAUAGUCACUCAACAGAGGGGAAACAAACAUAAUGAGACAGCACUGGAGACUCAGGAAAAGGACUACAAUGCUGAGUGAAGGUGAGGACACAGGACUAAGACAGAGAUGUACAACCAUUAAGCUCUGAAGGGACAGAUAGAUAAAAUUUCCUGAUGGUUGCUGCCCUCUAAUGGUCUAAUUCACAAGUGAUAAUGGAAGGAAUGAAUGUCCAACUGAAUUGGGUAGUUACUCUAGGAGCUGAGGCAACAUUACUUUGACUAGAUCUACCCUUCAAAGGAUCUUACAGCUGGCUGUGUUUUUAACCUUGUUUGGACUCUCACCACUGAUGCCCGCUUUUUAUCCACUCAAUGCCAUUGCCAGGAGCAAUUGUCUCACAUAAACCUUCAAUGUUCUAAAACUGCUCUUGCUGAUGGAGGAAGAGAAAAGCCAUGGCUUCCAACUUCCAUGAUGUUGACCCCUGACCACAUUCAAAAUGAGGCUUAAACUGGAGUCUUACAUUUUCUCAGCUUCCAUAGUUACAAGGUUCUGGUUGGUCAUCUAAGGAGGAAAAGAAAAUGCAUCGAGCAGCAAGAUUUGCAGAGUGGGUUAAGACCCUGGAUACACUUCACAACAGUACUGGGUUCAGGUUAGUGAGAAGAACCUCCAGACUGUCUGGCUUCGCUCUCGCUCGGGUGUACGUUGUCUGCAUCCAUGGACACACUUCCUUGUAUUUAACGACAUAAGAUAUGAUUCUUCCAUUUGGGUUGGGAGGAGUGUUCCAUGAAAGAAGAAUCCCAGCAGAGCCAACUCUCUCCCCGGCGAGGAAGACUGGAGGUCCCGGUUCUAUUUUUAAAAAUUCGUGUUAUUAAAUGAUCAAAUAAAUAUUCUAUUUCCACCAAAACAA